UACGUAGGGUGCGAGCGUUAAUCGGAAUUACUGGGCGUAAAGCGUGCGCAGGCGGUUCGUUGUGUCGGCGGUGAAAGCCCCGGGCUCAACCUGGGAAUGGCAAUGGAUACUGGCAGGCUAGAGUGCGGUAGAGGGUAGUGGAAUUCCCGGUGUAGCGGUGAAAUGCGUAGAUAUCUGCAGGAACACCCGUGGCGAAGGCGGCUGGCUGGACCGCAACUGACGCUGAGGAACGAAAGCUAGGGGAGCAAACAGG
rnacentral:rRNA from 1 species